rnacentral:rRNA from 1 species
GCUAUUGCGUAUAGCCGGUCGUGCUUGUCGAGCGCGUCGGAUCUGAGAGCUUGCUCUAUGCAAGUUAGCGGCGGACGGGUGAGUAACACGUGGGUAACCUGCCCAUAAGACUGGGAUAACUCCGGGAAACCGGGGCUAAUACCGGAUAACAUUUUGAACUGCAUGGUUCGAAAUUGAAAGGCGGCUUCGGCUGUCACUUAUGGAUGGACCCGCGUCGCAUUAGCUAGUUGGUGAGGUAACGGCUCACCAAGGCAACGAUGCGUAGCCGACCUGAGAGGGUGAUCGGCCACACUGGGACUGAGACACGGCCCAGACUCCUACGGGAGCCAGGAGUAUGGAAUUUUCCCCGCUAUCGACGUAAUGUCUCACGGGAGCGACGCCUGCGUGGAGUGCAUGAAAGCAUUCGGGUCGUAAAAGUCUGUUGUUAGGGAAGAACAAGUGCUAGCUGAAUAAGCUGGCACCUUGACGGUACCUCACCAGAAAGCCUCGGCUAAUUACGUGCCAGCAGCCGCGGUAAUACGUAGGUGGCAAGCGUUAUCCGGAAUUAUGGGGCGUAAAGCGCGCGCAGGUGGAUUUCUUAAGUCUGAUGUGAAAGCCCACGGCUCAACCGUGGAGGGUCAUUGGAAACUGGGAGACUUGAGUGCAGAAGAGGAAAGUGGAAUUCCAUGUGUAGCGGUGAAAUGCGUAGAGAUAUGGAGGAACACCAGUGGCGAAGGCGACUUUCUGGUCUGUAACUGACACUGAGGCGCGAAAGCGUGGGGAGCAAACAGGAUUAGAUACCCUGGUAGUACACGCCGUAAACGAUGAGUGCUAAGUGUUAGAGGGUUUCGGCCCUUUAGUGCUGAAGUUAACGCAUUAAGCACUCCGCCUUGGGGAGUACGGCCGCAAGGCUGAAACUCAAACGGAAUUGAUGGGGGCCGCGCACAAGCAGGUCGGAGCAUGUGGUUUCAUUCGAAGCAACGCGAAGAAACUUACCAGGUCUUGACAUGCUCUGAAAACCCUAGAAGAUACGGCUUCUAGGUCGGGAGCAGAGUGACAAGUGGUGCAUGGGUGUCGUCAGCUCGUGUACGUGAGAUGUUGGGAUAUGUUCUCGACAACGACGCGCAACCCAUGAUCUUAGUUGCCAUCAUUAAGGUAGGCACUCUAAUGGUCAGCUGCUGGUGACAAAACAGUAGGAAAAGGUGGGGAUGACGUCAAAUCAUCAUGCCCCUUAUGACCUGGGCUACACACGUGCUACAAUGGACGGUACAAAGAGCUGCAAGACCGCGAGGUGGAGCUAAUCUCAUAAAACCGUUCUCAGUUCGGAUUGUAGGCUGCAACUCGCCUACAUGAAGCUGGAAUCGCUAGUAAUCGCGGAUCAGCAUGCCGCGGUGAAUACGUUCCCGGGCCUUGUACACACCGCCCGUCACACCACGAGAGUUUGUAACACCCGAAGUCGGUGGGGUAACCUUUUUGGAGCCAGCCGCCUAUCGGUGGGACAGAUGAUUCACCUAAGUAAGACUGUCAGAAAC